rnacentral:rRNA from 1 species
GUGGGGAAUAUUGGACAAUGGGCGCAAGCCUGAUCCAGCCAUGCCGCGUGAGUGAUGAAGGCCUUAGGGUUGUAAAGCUCUUUCAGUGGGGACGAUAAUGACGGUACCCACAGAAGAAGCCCCGGCUAACUUCGUGCCAGCAGCCGCGGUAAUACGAAGGGGGCUAGCGUUGUUCGGAUUUACUGGGCGUAAAGCGCACGUAGGCGGAUCGUUAAGUCGGGGGUGAAAUCCUGGAGCUCAACUCCAGAACUGCCUUCGAUACUGGCGAUCUUGAGUCCGGAAGAGGUGAGUGGAACUCCUAGUGUAGAGGUGGAAUUCGUAGAUAGUAGGAAGAACACCAGUGGCGAAGGCGGCUCACUGGUCCGGUACUGACGCUGAGGUGCGAAAGCGUGGGGAGCAAACAGGAUUAGAUACCCGGGUAGUCC